rnacentral:rRNA from 1 species
CAGUCGCCACGGGAAUACGAAGGGGGCUAGCGUUGCUCGGAAUUACUGGGCGUAAAGGGAGCGUAGGCGGAUCGUUUAGUCAGGGGUGAAAUCCCGGGGCUCAACCUCGGAACUGCCUUUGAUACUGGCGAUCUUGAGUACGGGAGAGGUGUGUGGAACUCCGAGUGUAGAGGUGAAAUUCGUAGAUAUUCGGAAGAACACCAGUGGCGAAGGCGACACACUGGCCCAUUACUGACGCUGAGGCUCGAAAGCGUGGGGAGCAAACAGGAUUAGAUACCCCCGUAGUCCCUGUCUCUUAUAC